GACGAACGCUGGCGGCGUGCUUAACACAUGCAAGUCGAACGGAAAGGCCCUGCUUUUGUGGGGUGCUCGAGUGGCGAACGGGUGAGUAACACGUGAGUAACCUGCCCUUGACUUUGGGAUAACUUCAGGAAACUGGGGCUAAUACCGGAUAGGAGCUCCUGCUGCAUGGUGGGGGUUGGAAAGUUUCGGCGGUUGGGGAUGGACUCGCGGCUUAUCAGCUUGUUGGUGGGGUAGUGGCUUACCAAGGCUUUGACGGGUAGCCGGCCUGAGAGGGUUACCGGCCACAUUGGGACUGAGAUACGGCCCAGACUCCUACGGGAGGCAGCAGUGGGGAAUAUUGCACAAUGGGCGGAAGCCUGAUGCAGCAACGCCGCGUGCGGGAUGACGGCCUUCGGGUUGUAAACCGAUUUCGCCUGUGACGAAGCGUGAGUGACGGUAAUGGGUAAAGAAGCACCGGCUAACUACGUG
rnacentral:rRNA from 1 species